CUUCAACGAGCCCAGCAGGAGCGGCCGUUCGGCAUCCCGUUCGCGGCCGUAGGUGGCCAGGAUCGCCUGCGCCUC
rnacentral:antisense_RNA from 1 species